rnacentral:rRNA from 1 species
CCUACGGGAGGCAGCAGUGAGGAAUAUUGGUCAAUGGACGUAAGCCUGAACCAGCCAAGUCGCGUGAAGGAUGAAGGUUCUAUGGAUCGUAAACCUCUUUUAUAUGGGAAUAAAAUGUGGGACGUAUCCUAUUUUGUAUGUACCUUAUGAAUAAGGAUCGGCUAACUCCGUGCCAGCAGCCGCGGUAAUACGGAGGAUCCGAGCGUUAUCCGGAUUUAUUGGGUUUAAAGGGUGCGUAGGCGGCCUUUUAAGUCAGCGGUGAAAGUCUGUGGCUCAACCGUAGAAUUGCCGUUGAAACUGGGGGGCUUGAGUAUGUUUGAGGCAGGCGGAAUGCGUGGUGUAGCGGUGAAAUGCUUAGAUAUCACGCAGAACCCCGAUUGCGAAGGCAG